ensembl:processed_transcript
AGAACGGUGGACUUUGGGGAUGAAGAAGAAUUUACUACCUGUUUUGGAAGAACUAGCAGAGUGAGGUAACAACGAGUAAUCUGUUUUACAGAUACUUCCUCAGCCACAUUCACCACUGUGUUCAUAAUAGCUGGGAACUGGAAACAACCUAAAAGCUUUCUUUCUCUGAUUUGUGGAUGCUAGAUCUGAAUCUUAAGAGUGAUCAGAAUAUAGGAUGGAUUGUCUGUGUGCAGGUUGGAUGUUAGCAAAUGCUCAAUACACAAGAAUAAGAUAGAGGGGCAGACUGAAGCUGAUAACCCAAUUGCUACAUUACAAGUAAACAUGAGUAACCGCAAGAGACUCAACUAGCCUUUUAUUUCAGGAAGCAACCAAGAGUCUGUAAACCAUGGCAACAGCAGGAAGUUCCGUCUGUUUUAAAGUUGCGGUUCCGGUGUUGAGGAUGCCAAGGAUGAUGGGAAGCCUGACCUUGUUUUUCGGCUUGUAGGGAACUCCACCCGCAAUCCAGUCUGGCCUGAGCAUUUUGCUCCGGCACCUGUGCGUGGAAAACAGCUGAGCCCAGGAGGUUCCAGACCCUGGAUACCUGAGACACAUCGACUUGCUUCUUAGAUUGGACAUCUGUGGGCUUCCCUUUGCUGUGAGGA